rnacentral:rRNA from 1 species
AUGAGGACCUUGUGUUGGAACUAUCAUGGGAUUGGCGACCCUGCGACAGUUAACGAGCUUCGUGCUCUAGUGCAGGACAGUGCGUCGUCGGUCCUUUGUGUUGUGGAGACGCAAAUUGCAAAGAAUCGAGUGGAGGGUUUGGCGGUGUCUUUAGGUUUCCAGCAUAGUUUUGCAGUAGCUAGUAGUGGGAGGAGUGGAGGUAUUUGUAUUUUUUGGAAGUCAGACGUUAAUCUUGUAAUAAAAAACUUUUCGCAGUAUCACAUUGACUCCUGGGUGUCGAUCCCGGGGUUGGAUCAGUGGCGGCUUACUUGUUUCUAUGGGGAGGCGAACAGAAGCUUGCGAUAUAAAACAUGGGAGACUAUGAAGAGAUUGAGGGGGGAGAGUACCCUGCCGUGGUUCUGCAUCGGCGAUUUUAACGAGAUACUUCGACGGGAGGAGCAGUUGGGGCCUAAUACCCGUGAUAGUGCACAAAUGGAGGGAUUCAGGGAUGCUGUGGAUGUAUGUGGCUUGGCGGAUAUAGGAUAUUUGGGUCUAGACUGGACUUUCGAGAAGCGAGUGACGGGUGGUCAGUUUUGCAGGGUUCGGCUAGACCGAGCUUUGGCCUCACCCAGCUGGUCUUUACUAUUUCCUUUGCAACCCUGGAACAUCUAA